AAAGCGUGCGCAGGCGGUUUUGUAAGUCUGUCGUGAAAUCCCCGGGCUCAACCUGGGAAUGGCGAUGGAGACUGCAAGGCUAGAGUUUGGCAGAGGGGGGUAGAAUUCCACGUGUAGCAGUGAAAUGCGUAGAGAUGUGGAGGAACACCGAUGGCGAAGGCAGCCCCCUGGGUCAAAACUGACGCUCAUGCACGAAAGCGUGGGGAGCAAACAGGAUUAGAUACCCUAGU
rnacentral:rRNA from 1 species